GAUGAACGCUGGCGGCGUGCCUAAUACAUGCAAGUCGAGCGAACCACUUCGGUGGUGAGCGGCGAACGGGUGAGUAACACGUAGGUGAUCUGCCCAUCAGACGGGGACAACGAUUGGAAACGAUCGCUAAUACCGGAUAGGACGAAAGUUUAAAGGUGCUUCUGGCACCGCUGAUGGAUGAGCCUGCGGCGCAUUAGCUAGUUGGUAGGGUAAAGGCCUACCAAGGCGACGAUGCGUAGCCGACCUGAGAGGGUGAACGGCAACACUGGGACUGCGACACGGCCCAGACUCCUACGGGAGGCAGCAGUAGGGAAUCUUCCACAAUGGACGAAAGUCUGAUGGAGCAACGCCGCGUGAACGAUGAAGGCCUUCGGGUCGUAAAGUUCUGUUGUAAGGGAAGAACAAGUGCCGCAGGCAAUGGCGGCACCUUGACGGUACCUUGCGAGAAAGCCACGGCUAACUACGUGCCAGCCGCCGCAGUAA
rnacentral:rRNA from 1 species